rnacentral:rRNA from 1 species
UACGGAGGGUGCAAGCGUUAUCCGGAUUCACUGGGUUUACAGGGUGCGUAGGCGGGCAGGUAAGUCCGUGGUGAAAUCUCUGAGCUUAACUCAGAAACUGCCAUGGAUACUAUUUGUCUUGAAUAUUGUGGAGGUAAGCGGAAUAUGUCAUGUAGCGGUGAAAUGCUUAGAUAUGACAUAGAACACCAAUUGCGAAGGCAGCUUACUACACAGUUAUUGACGCUGAGGCACGAAAGCGUGGGGAUCAAACAGG